rnacentral:lncRNA from 1 species
CAGAGGUUGAAUCGUAAAAAGGGAAAAAUGCACCACGUGGAUGCCCAGUCAGCAGCACAGCAAAUCGCUGCAUGCUGCGUGGCGACCACAUCACGCACAGACUCCACGCGGGAAGGCUACUUUGGCAAUCCACGUGCCAGGAAGAUCGGACGGCUCGUGUCCACUUAUGCGCUUGCGAACCACCCAGAUCAAUUCUUCGAAUAGGCCCCAAUUGAACGGCUCCUGUUGCCCCAUACAAACCCAGACAGACGGCCCAAAUUGAUUUCCCAAAUAGGCCCGAUCGAACGGCAUCAGCGCUCCAUGUCGAUCCAAACGAGUGGCCAAGAUUAGGGGAAGAAAGGUAUUUAGACCUCUCUUAAGUUGCCCCAAAACCCUAGCCGAUGCAGGGACACCAAAGAAGAAGAAGAAGGGCAGCCAAAAGGGAACUUAGCCUCUAGAGGAACGCUGGUGCCACCGUGUCGGAACACCAAAACACUUUGGUAAGCCCAAAAUUCUUUUUCGUUCCUUUUAUUUCUCCGCUCUUAGCCGCCUAACACAUUUCUGAUGCAGGGUGACCGAGAGAAGCCGUAAAUCGCAAGGGAGAGACGGUGGAGCUCGGUUGAGCUGCCACAUCGAAGGACCAAAAUCACCACUAAGACCAUAUUUUUUUCCCUUUUUUCACCGAAAAACACUCCCUAACCACGAUUUAAACAAAUUUUUACCAGAAACUGGCCAAAAUUAGUUCUACCGAAAGGAAGAACUGCUGGAGAAGGAGGAUCAGGCAGCGGAGCAUGGUGCCGCCACCACGUUAGAACCCUAACUCAGCCCCCAGUAAUAUUUUUUUACCUUUUUUUGGCCAUUCUUUGCGUAUUUUCAUGCUAUUUUGAUGUACGUUUUCAAUCUUACCAAGAAAACUUAAAAAAUUCAAAAAUUGAGAACUGUCGAGAACUAUAAUAAAAAAGUAGUGUCUUGGACACCAACCCAGUGUAAAAAUCUCUCACUCUUUCUCC